AACGAACGCUGGCGGCAUGCCUAACACAUGCAAGUCGAACGAGACCUUCGGGUCUAGUUGCGCACGGGUGCUUAACGCGUGGGAACCUGCCCUUAGGUUCGGAAUAACUCCCCGAAAGGUGUGCUAAUACCGGAUAAUGUCUUCGGACCAAAGAUUUAUCGCCUUUGGAUGGGCCCGCGUUGGAUUAGCUAGUUGGUAGGGUAAAAGCAUACCAAGGCGACGAUCCAUAGCUGGUCUGAGAGGAUGAUAAUCCACACUGGGACUGAGACACGGCCCAGACUCCUACGGGAGGCAGCAGUGGGGAAUAUUGGACAAUGGGCGAAAGCCUGAUAAAGCAAUGCCGCGUGAGUGAUGAAGGCCUUAGGGUUGUAAAGCUCUUUUACACGGGAUGAUAAUGACAGUACCGGGAGAAUAAGCUCCGGCUAACUCCGUG
rnacentral:rRNA from 1 species